UACGUAAGUGGCGAGCGUUAUCCGGAAUUACUGGGCGUAAAGCGUUCGUAGGCGGCGUGGUAAGUUGGGUUUGAAAGCCCGGGGCUCAACUCCGGACCCGGAUCCAAAACUACCAUGCUUGAGCGUAUCAGGGGGCAGCGGAAUUCCCGGUGUAGCGGUAAUAUGCGUAGAUAUCGGGAGGAACGCCAGUGGCGAAGGCGGCUGCCUGGGGUAUUGCUGACGCUGAGGAACGAAGGCCAGGGGAGCGAACGGG
rnacentral:rRNA from 1 species